UACGAGGGGUGGCAAGCGUUGCUCGGAAUUAUUGGGCGUAAAGAGCGUGUAGGCGGCCCGAUAAGUCCGCCGAUGAAAGUCCAAGGGCUCAACCCUGGAAUGCCGGUGGAAACUGUCGGGCUGGAGUCCGGAAGAAGGCGGAGUGGAAUUCCUUCGGUGUAGCGGUGAAAUGCGCAGAUAUCAGGAGGAACACCAAUGGCGAAGGCAGCUCGCUGGGACGGUACUGACGCUGAGACGCGAAAGCGUGGGAGCAAAACAGG
rnacentral:rRNA from 1 species